rnacentral:rRNA from 1 species
AUUGAACGCUGGCGGCAGGCCUAACACAUGCAAGUCGAACGAGUGGCGGACGGGUGAGUAAUGCGUGAGAAACUGGCUAUUGGAGGGGGAUAACCACUGGGAACGGUAGCUAAUUCCGCAUUCCAUCAAUUGUGCCCAGCUGGGAUUGACUAGUUGGAGGGUUAACGGCUCACCAGGGCGGCGAUCCCAAGCUGGUCUGAGAGGAUAACCAGCAACACGGGAACUGAGACACGGUCCAGACUCCUACGGUAGGCACCAGUGGGGAAUAUUGCACAAUGGGCGCAAGCCUGCUGCAGCCAUGCCGCGGGUAUGAAGAAGGCCUUCGGUUUGUAAAGUACUUUCAGCGGGGAGGCGUUACCCGCAGAAGAAGCACCGGCUAACUCCGUGCCAGCCGCCGCGGUAAUAC